rnacentral:rRNA from 1 species
UACGUAGGGUGCGAGCGUUGUCCGGAAUUAUUGGGCGUAAAGAGCUUGUAGGUGGUUUGUCGCGUCUGCUGUGAAAAUCCGGGGCUCAACCCCGGACUUGCAGUGGGUACGGGCAGACUAGAGUGUGGUAGGGGAGACUGGAAUUCCUGGGUGUAGCGGUGGAAUGCGCAGAUAUCAGGAGGAACACCGAUGGCGAAGGCAGGUCUCUGGGCCAUUACUGACACUGGAGAAG